rnacentral:rRNA from 1 species
GAGAAGUUGGUCAAACUUGGUCAUUUAGAGGAAGUAAAAGUCGUAACAAGGUUUCCGUAGGUGAACCUGCGGAAGGAUCAUUAUCGUACAAAAUGUGAGAGGGGCAUGCGAGGGCUGUCGCUGACUCAAAGUCGUGCACGCCCGAGUGUGUCCCCUCACAUAAUAAUCCAUCUCACCCUUUGUGCAUCACCGCGUGGGCACCCCUUUGGGAUCAUCUCGGAGGGGGCUCGCGUUUUCACACAAAACCCCCCUUUUAAAAGUGUAGAAUGACCUCAUUUAUGCGCUAACCCGCAAUCAAUACAACUUUCAACAACGGAUCUCUUGGCUCUCGCAUCGAUGAAGAACGCAGCGAAAUGCGAUACGUAAUGUGAAUUGCAGAAUUCAGUGAAUCAUCGAAUCUUUGAACGCACCUUGCGCCCCCUGGUAUUCCGAGGGGCACACCCGUUUGAGUGUCGUGAAAACCUCAACCUCCUUGGUUUCUUCUGGAGACCAAAGCAGGCUUGGACUUUGGAGGCCUUUGCUGGCACCUCUCGCCAGCUCCUCUUAAAUGAAUUAGCAGGGUCCUCUUUGCUGAUCCUCGACGUGUGAUAAGAUGUUUCCAUGUCUUGGUUUCUGGCUCUGUCACCUUUGGGACCCGCUUCUAACCGUCUUCAACCUUGCGUUGAGACAACGUUCGAGCAUGUCUCCCUUCUCGGGAAGCUCCCUCGACCCCACGAACCCUUGACCUCAAAUCGGGUGAGACUACCCGCUGAACUUAAGCAUAUCAAUAAGCGGAGGAAAAGAAACUAACAAGGAUUCCCCUAGUAACUGCGAGUGAAG